GACGAACGCUGGCGGCGUGCUUAACACAUGCAAGUCGAACGGAAAGGCCCUGCUUUUGUGGGGUGCUCGAGUGGCGAACGGGUGAGUAACACGUGAGUAACCUGCCCUUGACUUUGGGAUAACUUCAGGAAACUGGGGCUAAUACCGGAUAGGAGCUCCUGCUGCACGGUGGGGGUUGGUAAGUUUCGGCGGUUUGGGAUGGUCUCGCGGCUUAUCAGCUUGUUGGUGGGGUAGUGGUUUACCAAGGUUUUGACGGGUAGCCCGCCUGAGAGGGUGACCGGCCACAUUGGUACUGAGAUACGCACCAGACUCCUACGGUAGGCAGCGGUGGGGAAUAUUGCGCAAUGGGCGGAAGCCUGAUGCAGCAACGCCGCGUGCGUGAUGACGGCCUUCUGGUUGUAAACCGCUUUCGCCGGUGACGAAGCGUGAGUGACGGUAAUGGGUAAAAAAGCACCGGCUAACUACGUG
rnacentral:rRNA from 1 species